rnacentral:rRNA from 1 species
CAGGAUGAACGCUGGCGGCGUGCCUAAUACAUGCAAGUCGAGCGAACAGAUGAGAAGCUUGCUUCUCUGAUGUUAGCGGCGGACGGGUGAGUAACACGUGGGUAACCUACCUAUAAGACUGGGAUAACUCCGGGAAACCGGGGCUAAUACCGGAUAAUAUAUUGAACCGCAUGGUUCAAUGUUGAAAGACGGUUUCGGCUGUCACUUAUAGAUGGACCCGCGCCGUAUUAGCUAGUUGGUAAGGUAACGGCUUACCAAGGCAACGAUACGUAGCCGACCUGAGAGGGUGAUCGGCCACACUGGAACUGAGACACGGUCCAGACUCCUACGGGAGGCAGCAGUAGGGAAUCUUCCGCAAUGGGCGAAAGCCUGACGGAGCAACGCCGCGUGAGUGAUGAAGGUCUUAGGAUCGUAAAACUCUGUUGUUAGGGAAGAACAAAUUUGUUAGUAACUGAACAAGUCUUGACGGUACCUAACCAGAAAGCCACGGCUAACUACGU